rnacentral:snoRNA from 1 species
GGUCAAUGAUGUGAUUUAAAAGGUCUGAAAUCCAGGUCUCCUCCCAGUCCUUCCGCCCCUCUUCAUUUUUCCCAGCAUGCUCUAGUUGUGCAUUGCUGGUUCGAGGUGGCGGUUGAUACUAUGGACGUUUUUGCUGAUUUAAGAGUCUUUGAGAGAACCGAGUGAGACCUCGACAGCAGCAUCCUACAGAACUACAACACAAAGGAGGGCUGGACAGGAGGAGAACGUUAAACUGGUGCAUGAUCUCAAGUUUUCAAGCUGAGGCC